CCCCACAUACCCCAUUAUCAACCCUUCCCCCCUCCUCUCCUUCUCAUGCCAAAACAAGGAAAAUAGAAAGGAAAGAAAUGCAAGUGAUGCAAAUGGUCCGUCUAGAUUCAAGAAAUCAAAACAAGAGGAAAAGCAAACUAAUGCACAAGAUCCGAGACCAUAAGACAUUCGAAGGAGCAUCAAUCAAACAACUUAGUAGAUGGAAGAUGGAUUUACUAGCGGAAAAUGAUCGAGUGAUCAACUCUCAAUCAACUAACUAUCCGAAAAUCCAUCCUGAAGAUAUGGCAAACACAAGAAAGGAAACAGAGUUUGGCAUAUGAAUUCAGUCCACAUCUAUUGACUGGAUUCAUAGGCAUCCCUUGGGUCAAAUCUCUUAGAAAAUAUCUUGUCUCAAUCAAUGGAUAUUUUUCAAUCUCGCUUGAAAACAAUAAAGAUUUUGGUGACCGAGAUAACUCAAGACCUGCCUAUAUGAAGAACUCAGAAAAUCAGAGAACACACGAAGCUUCAAUAUACAAGCUUUCUACAUCUUUCUAGUUUUUAGUUAAAAUAUUGUAUUCUUGAGUUUGCUAGUGUCACAAAAGAUAGAAAGAAAUAGAAAACAGCCAAGAGGUUGCGUCAAGAACUUGGGAAACGUUUAAUUGUACAUCGUUUGUGGUGAACGAAAGAAACCAUAACUGUUAUAACACAUUAUCUUUGAAGAACUAAGAGAACCCUUGUGACCCAAGGGAACUGGAUGAAGGUACCACACCGGUACACGAACCAGUAUAAUA